ACGCACGCUGGCGGCAUGCCUCACCCAUGCAAGUCGCACGAGACCUUCGGGUCUAGUGGCGCACGGGUGCGUAACGCGUGGGAACCUGCCCUUAGGUUCGGAAUAACUCCCCGAAAGGGGUGCUAAUACCGGAUAAUGUCUUCGGACCAAAGAUUUAUCGCCUUUGGAUGGGCCCGCGUUGGAUUAGCUAGUUGGUAGGGUAAAAGCCUACCAAGGCGACGAUCCAUAGCUGGUCUGAGAGGAUGAUCAGCCACACUGGGACUGAGGCACGGCCCAGACUCCUACGGGAGGCAGCAGUGGGGAAUAUUGGACAAUGGGCGAAAGCCUGAUCCAGCAAUGCCGCGUGAGUGAUGAAGGCCUUAGGGUUGUAAAGCUCUUUUACCCGGGAUGAUAAUGACAGUACCGGGAGAAUAAGCUCCGGCUAACUCCGUG
rnacentral:rRNA from 1 species